UACAGAGGUCCCGAGCGUUGUUCGGAUUCACUGGGCGUAAAGGGUGCGUAGGUGGUUGGGUAAGUUUGAUGUGAAAGCUCAGGGCUUAACCCUGAAAUGGCAUUGAAUACUACUUAACUGGAGGUUUGGAGGGGGGACUGGAAUUCUUGGUGUAGCAGUGAAAUGCGUAGAUAUCAAGAGGAACACCAGUGGCGAAGGCGAGUCCCUGGACAACACCUGACACUGAGGCACGAAGGUCAGGGGAGCAAACAGG
rnacentral:rRNA from 1 species